rnacentral:snRNA from 1 species
UUCACAAUCUCAGCCUUUUGGCUAAGAUCAAGUGUAGCAUCUGUUCUUAUCAGGAGGUGUAAAAGCCUCUUCUGGUGAGAUGGAGAAACACUU